rnacentral:rRNA from 1 species
UGGGGAAUAUUGCACAAUGGGGGAAACCCUGAUGCAGCCAUGCCGCGUGUGUGAAGAAGGCCCUAGGGUUGUAAAGCACUUUCAGUUGUGAGGAAAGGUUAACGGUUAAUACCCGUUAGCUGUGACGUUAGCAACAGAAGAAGCACCGGCUAACUCCGUGCCAGCAGCCGCGGUAAUACGGAGGGUGCAAGCGUUAAUCGGAAUUACUGGGCGUAAAGCGCACGCAGGCGGUUUGUUAAGCUAGAUGUGAAAGCCCCAGGCUCAACCUGGGAACAGCAUUUAGAACUGACUGACUAGAGUCUUGGAGAGGGGAGUGGAAUUCCAGGUGUAGCGGUGAAAUGCGUAGAGAU